rnacentral:rRNA from 1 species
GACGAACGCUGGCGGCGUGCUUAACACAUGCAAGUCGAACGGAAAGGCCUGCUUUCCCUUGUGGAUUGCGGGUACUCGAGUGGCGAACGGGUGAGUAACACGUGAGUGAUCUGCCCCCAACUUGGGUAUAAGCCUGGGAAACUGGGUCUAAUUCCCGAUAGGACUGCAGGGUGGUGCCUGUGGUGGAAAACGAUUUUCUAGUGGUUGGGGAUGAGCUCGCGGCCUAUCAGCUUGUUGGUGGGGUAAUGGCCUACCAAGGCGGCGACGGGUAGCCGGCCUGAGAUGGUGGACGGCCGCAUUGGGACUGCGAUACGGCCCAGACUCCUACGGGAGGCAGCCGUGGGGAAUAAUGCACAAUGGGCGGAAGCCUGAUGCAGCGACGCCGCGUGGGGGAUGACGGCCUUCGGGUUGUAACCUCCUUUCGACCGCGAGGAAGCCACCUGGUUGGAAGGGUGGUGACGGUAGUGGUAGAAGAAGCACCGGCUAACUACGUG